rnacentral:lncRNA from 1 species
GAAUCAAACUGAUUUAUAUGUAUACUCAGGAUACUGACAGGAAAACUUGUGUCAUGUAAUGUUUUAAUCAAGGAGCUCCAUAAACAAAACUGAGGAUGAUUGAAGGAGGAACUGUUGGCGAGAGUUUAAAACCAUUGUUUCACAAAGAAUUUCCAGUCACUCUGAGGCCCAAAUGAAGAAGGAGGAGAAGAAAGGUGCAUUCAAAUAUAUGCAGUUUUUCUAGGCAAAAAUCCCAUCAACAGAGGUCACAGAAUUUGGUUUCCAGGGUUUAAAUGGACGCUUUCAAAUGAUGCUCAUGUUUUAAAGCCUUCAUCUUUCUUACUGCCUAGCAAAGGUGGUAGAAGUUGCAGAAAACAGAUGCGUUCACCCAAAAACAGUAGUGUGGAAUGAGAUGGAGAAAGCCCACAGGCAGGGAGGAAGGCAAAGUCGGUAAAAUGGGCGAGAACUUGUCCAUGGUAAACUCCAAAAUGGGAGGAGAGGCCCCAUCUUCCUAAGGGCCCUAAAAGAACACCAAAUGUUUUGACAGUAAUUGUUGAGACUCCUGAAACUGAAGCACUCUACUUCUGGGGUGGAAUUCACCUUUACUAAAUUGAGUGCUAAUAUUUUGAAAUACUGAACUUCGUCUCUUGCCCAGACUUGUGGUCCUUCAGUAGUUAGGGAGCAUGGUGAAACUACUAUUGAGACUCGAUUAACGCUUUUUGCAUUAUGAUAGAAUUUUGCAUUAUGACUUCUUUCUAAAAAGUUGUUGGAUUAAAAGAU